rnacentral:misc_RNA from 1 species
GCUGCCGUGGAGAAGGUUGGGCUUGCUGACAAGAUGAGUCACAUCUCAACUGGAGGUGGUGCCAGUUUAGAGCUUCUCGAGGGGAAAACACUUCCGGGAGUGCUUGCUCUUGAUGAUGCUUGAGCUGAGUUUUUCUCAUUUGCCUUUUUUUUUCUGCGAACUUUAGUUCUCGUAUAUAAGUUGGUUUCACAGCCAAAGCGGACUAGAAUGAUGGAAUAGAGCUCUGAUCUUAGCCUGUAGAUUGAGUAAAUAAAAGUUUUCUUUUUCCAUCAAAAGGCUUUGAAGCCAA